GGGCCGCACAAGCGGUGGAGCAUGUGGUUUAAUUCGAUGCAACGCGAAGAACCUUACCAGGGCUUGACAUCCCCUGACCGCGUAUGAAAGUACGUUUUCACCCUCGGGUGACAGGGAGACAGGUGGUGCAUGGUUGUCGUCAGCUCGUGUCGUGAGAUGUUGGGUUAAGUCCCGCAACGAGCGCAACCCCUACGUUUAGUUGCUAACGCGUGAAGGCGAGCACUCUAGACGAACUGCCGUUGACAAAACGGAGGAAGGUGGGAUGACGUCAAAUCAUCAUGCCCCUUAUGUUCUGGGCUACACACGUGCUACAAUGGCCGGUACAGACGGACGCAAAGCCGCGAGGUGGAGCAAAUCCUAAAAAGCCGGUCUCAGUUCGGAUUGCAGGCUGCAAUUCGCCUGCAUGAAGUCGGAAUCGCUAGUAAUCGCAGGUCAGCAUACUGCGGUGAAUACGUUCCCGGGCCUU
rnacentral:rRNA from 1 species